rnacentral:rRNA from 1 species
UACGUAGGUGGCAAGCGUUGUCCGGAUUUACUGGGCGUAAAGAGCGCGUAGGCGGCCCUGCAAGUCAAAGGUGAAAUCCCUCGGCUCAACUGAGGAACUGCCUUUGAAACUGUGGGGCUUGAGGCCGGGAGGGGGUAGCGGAAUUCCCAGUGUAGCGGUGAAAUGCGUAGAUAUUGGGAGGAACACCUAUGGCGAAGGCAGCACUCUGGGACGGUACUGACGCUGAGACGCGAAAGCGUGGGGAGCGAACAGG